AUUGAACUAUGGGUAGGAUAGGCGCGAACGACAAGCCACCGCCAGAGAAAUUUUAACAGGUUAAAUGGGUGCUGCCAUUACUCUGUGCGCCUCAGCGCUGAGGGGAGAGAAAAAAAAAAUGAAGUUUGCACUAGUGAGCUGGUCAAAGGGAAAGAAUAAAGAUGUUCUCAGUAUUAUCCCCGUAAAUUGGAUUGUAGACUUUGAUCCUGAAAACUCUAAAAAGGAGUGGCUGGUUGAACCUGCCCACAAACUGCAGUUGGCAGGUGAUACUCGUCCCACCCUGACAGUGCUGCCCCCCUCCAGUGAGGAGCUGCAGCAGGGGAAGGCCACUCUCAUGUGUCUGGCCAACAAGGGCUUCCCUUCAGGCUGGAGUCUGUCCUGGAAGGUGGACGGCAGCAGCAGCAGCAGCAGCAGCAGCAGCAGCUGGGAGCAGAGCAGGAGCCCCGGGGUGCUGCAGAAGGACGGCCUCUACAGCUGGAGCAGCACCCUGAGGCUCCCUGCAGACCAGUGGAGGAAGGUGGGCUCUGUGACCUGUGAGGCCACCCAGGGCUCCCAGACUGCAGUCACAGAGACACUGAGGAGAGACCAGUGUUCCCAGUCCUGACAUCAAUUACUGGGAGUUAAUUGUUUCUUACAUUUUUACUGAUGUUACUUUGGCUGUUUCUUUUCUUGUCUUUAUCUGUCCAAUAAAGUUCUAAUUCAAAUUUACAGAUUAAAGACAUUUUCUUCAAAUCAAAA